GUUUGGUUGAGGCAUAACCAUUCUUUAGGAACAGAAAGCAAUGUCUUGUGAUGAAAGUACUUUUCUCUUUGUGUUGCUCCUAUUAUACGUGGUGGUGUUCUUACAUUCAGAACCCAGAUUCCAAAACAUUUUCUGUGUCUAGCAGGUAAUAUAUAGAGAAGACUGGAUUUCUGAAAUACAAACUGAGAGAAUCAGAUAUAAACCUCAAGAAGGUGAAAAGGUUUAACCACCUGUAAUCAGAUUUUACCAAUGAUUUGUGCUUAAGUAAUGGCAUCACUUUUUUUCCAACACACAGGAUAUGUUUUGGUUUAUUUCAGGCAGGUGCCUGUUCCCUGUAAGUGCUAAACUACAGGAUGUUACAAUUAUAGAUGUAGUGACACUGUUGCUGCAGAAUCACUGCUGAUAAAUUAUGGUGGGAUGGCAGCUGUAAAUACAGCUUCUGUUGUGAUUUAAGAGGGAGAUGUGAGGGCGUGCUGCCCAGAUGCUGGAUCAAUGAUAACUUCAAACAAGAAGCACUUGGAGAGCCUGAAGAAUGAUGGCGAUGCUCUUAUCCAGGCUCUGGAGAGCCUGGUCCAAACUCCCAGCUCUGACGUUGACAGUGCUGUUGCUUCCUUGGCAUCUGAAAUUCUGAGAGCGGUGGGACAUGAAAAUAUCAAGACUCCCAAGUGAAAAAUUUUUGACCAUCCUUCUGAAAUGUGCAGGUUGUGUACCUUGCUCAGCACCUUGGUCCUGCAGGAACAUCUUCAGAUGUGCUGAGCAUUUAGCAAUCUGAGCUGCAGCAUUUGCAGAAUUCGAGCUGGCUCAGGAAGGGAGGGAAGCUGGUUCAGGGGUGGGGAAGGGGUAGUUUGUAUUUUAAAUCCUUGUAAGGAUGAAUUCUUGGUUACUACUUUGCUUUGCUGGCAUUACAUGAUGUAGCUCAAGUAUUUGAUAGUUUGAAAGUGUAAAUUAAAUGAAUAGUAGAGUUACUUCACAAUAUGAAGUGUUUCACUAUUUCAAGCUAGUUAGAAAUGCUAAUUUAUCUUUUGGACCGGGUGACUGCCUUGGCUGUUCAUCUUAAGGGGUCACCUCAUGCUUGUGACUGGCACUAGAAAAUAGCUUUUUAUCGAGACAGACAAUAUUGUUCAUCUCAAGCAACCAGUACCAACCACUGUGAUCACACAGAGGCUGUGUGUAGGGCAUGUAAGGAUAGAUAUUAGCCAGGUUUCUACUCACAGCCUUGUACUCGCUAGCCCCUCCUUCGUCUAGCACUGCUCAGCUUAAGCUACAAGGGCGGAGUGUUGUUCUCAGCUGCCAACGCUCCUGGCUGCAGCUGAGAACAGGUGCGGUGAUGACCCUGGCUGUCAAACCCCCAGUAAAAGCUGGUACCCUAGAAAAGGUCCUCAGUGUGUGUAGAGUUAAAUUCUU
rnacentral:lncRNA from 1 species